rnacentral:lncRNA from 1 species
AAUAUCUCUUGCCAAUUUUCUGCCUGGUGUCAGCCAAAAUGAGCAAUGGAAACAAUCAUGAUGUCACAAAGGCAUGGUCAGCACGAAGUCAGACCCAUCGUGGGUGCAGGUCACAGCUUGCAAGCAAGCAAGCUCCACUAGCAGAACAGAACUGUUGGGUGUGGCUGAGGGGAAUCUAGAACACAGGCAGAGGAGGGAGAGUAUAAAUAUCAACUAACGCUCAGCACCAAAUGCAGAAGUGGUGAACGCUGCUUGGUCUACCAUCCUCUUGCUAUGUGGCAUUGGUCAGAAUUUAGUCAUGUGGACAUACCAAACUGCAAAUGAGGCUGGGAAAUGAAUUGUAGCUACAUGCCCAGGAGGAAGGAGGAAUAAUGAUCAAGUCUAAGUUGCUUUUUUUCUGCCUUUCUCUAUUUCAUUCUCUUCAACUCGGAGUGAUUUCAUUAGUUCUGCCUGCAUUUCAUUGGACAGAGAUGAGUCAUAUUACCAUAUCUAAUUAUUAAUCUAAGACAGAAUGAGAAAGGAAGUCUAG